GACGAACGCUGGCGGCGUGCUUAACACAUGCAAGUCGAACGGAAAGGCCCUGCUUUUGUGGGGUGCUCGAGUGGCGAACGGGUGAGUAACACGUGAGUAACCUGCCCUUGACUUUGGGAUAACUUCAGGAAACUGGGGCUAAUAUCGGAUAUGAGCUCCUGCUGCAUGGUGGGCGUUGGAAAGUUUCGGCGGUUGGGGAUGGACUCGCGGCUUAUCAGCUUGUUGGUGGGGUAGUGGCUUACCAAGGCUUUGACGGGUAGCCGGCCUGAGAGGGUGACCGGCCACAUUGGGACUGAGAUACGGCCCAGACUGCUACGGGAGGCAGCAGUGGGGAAUAUGGCACAAUGAGCGGAAGCCUGAGGCAGAAACGCCGCGUGCGGGAUGACGGCCUUCGGGGUGUAAACCGCUUUCGCCUGAGACGAGGCGUGAGUGACGGUAAUGGAUAAAGAAGCACCGGCUAACUACGUG
rnacentral:rRNA from 1 species